UACGAAGGGGGCGAGCGUUGUUCGGAUUUACUGGGCGUAAAGGGCGCGCAGGCGGCCGGCCAAGUCAGGCGUGAAAGCCCCGGGCUUAACCUGGGAAUUGCGUCUGGGACUGGUUGGCUAGAGAUCGGGAGAGGAGAGUGGAAUUCCCAGUGUAGAGGUGAAAUUCGUAGAUAUUGGGAAGAACACCGGUGGCGAAGGCGGGUCUCUGGGCCGAUACUGACGCUGAGGAGCGAAAGCGUGGGGAGCGAACAGG
rnacentral:rRNA from 1 species